UACGAAGGUCCCAAGCGUUGUUCGGAAUCACUGGGCGUAAAGAGCUCGUAGGCGGUGUGUCGCGUCGGCCGUGAAAACCUGCAGCUUAACUGUGGGCUGCGGUCGAUACGGGCAUCACUGGAGUUCGGCAGGGGAGACUGGAAUUCCUGGUGUAGCGGUGAAAUGCGCAGAUAUCAGGAAGAACACCUAUGGCGAAGGCAGCUCUCUGGGACGGUACUGACGCUGAGACGCGAAAGCGUGGGGAGCGAACAGG
rnacentral:rRNA from 1 species